UAAUAAUGGUAGGGAAUUUACUGCCGAUAUAAUUAAAAAGUUAGGAUCUCUUUGGCCAGCUUUAGUUCUUGUUAAUGGGGGGCCAAGACAUUCACAAAGUCAAGGAAGUGUGGAAAGGGGUAUCUGUGUUGUACACGAAUCAUUUGUGGCUUGGAUGCGAGACCAUAACUCAUCUUCUUGGUCUUUGGGCUUGAAAUUUAUUCAGUGGGGUAUAAAUUCAAUUUAUUACGAAGCCAUAAAAAUGGAGCCUUACAAAGCGCUGUUUGGACAACCUCUAAAAGUAGGUCUGGGAACAAAAAUACCGCAAGAAUUUCUGUCUGCUAUUUUUAAUGGAAUAAUGGAAUAAAUGGAAUAAUAAAAGAUAUAUUAAUUACUUAAAAAUCCAGAAAAUAAAUCGGAUGUGGACCUUGAAAAAUAUGCUACAACGUCUCAUGAUGAAGAAAUAUUAGAUGACAUAAAACUUCAAGCAGAUAGUAUCAUAGAAAGUAAUGCACAAGAUUUGAUCUCCAACCAAUAAACACAAUAACAUCUGACACAGGAAAAAAAACGCACUUGUUGAGAUAGAGACAGAAAAUAGCUUGAACAUGAACGAUAAUUACGUCAUUAUCAUGGAAACUGGUGAAAAUGAUAAAGAACCGUAUCCAAAAGGAUUUACUUAUUACUGAAUCUCAAGAAAGGCGUAGAUUACGACAUGGUAAACAAAAAUGUUGUUAUUUUAAGCAAUCAGAUUAUUGGCGGACCUUUUACUGAAACUAAAGAGAUAAUUUCACAUGAAGUCGCCUCUGACAAUUCGCAUAACAUUGAAAAUCAAGACGAGCAUCCUGCUGUUCAUUUAAGGAAACUAGCUCACGAAAAUCUUUUAAAGCAAGCUUCGAACAUGACCGAAAGAUCAAAUAAAAAACUGGGCUAAUUAAAUAUUAGUGAAAAUGUGCUUGUAGUCUUUAAUAGCUAUUAGCGAAAUUGACAGAGGAAGAGGGGAUACAGCCAACCUUAUUGGAGUAGCUAUGGAUAAGAAGGAUGGAAAGUUUAAAAUCGGUACAAAGCAUGGCAUUGUAAACAAGCAACAAAAUUUAAGAAGAUAAAAUUAAGUGAAGUGCCUGACAUUGAAACUAAUAUUCGUAUGCUUGUUCGUAAAGAUUCAAUAAGUUCUGGACAAGGUUAUAAAAGGUGUAAUUGUACUAAAAUGUGCAGAUCAAAAAGAUGCAAAUGUUUAGAAAACAACUUUAUAUGUAAUUCGGCUU